UCUUUCUGGAACAGGAAGUUUACCCUCUCUAGAGCAACAAGCAACAGGAUCAGACUUCCCCUCGGAGUCGGAGAUAUCAGCUGAACCUGCAUGAGGUUUCUGCAACCACAUGUCCGUCCUGGCGAGGAUUCUGCCCGAGACCCAGGACGGCAAGGCCCCUGAGCGGGGGGAGCGUGUGGCCCCUGCCCCACUGUGGGGGGUCCCUGUUGGCGUCACUGAGAAAGACAAAGGACAGGCUGGAAUACAAUUUUCUGUAGCAUACGUGACAGACGAAGGAGGGAUAUAAACAUACAAAGCAACAGGAGAAGAAACGGCCGAGAGAAAAGCAUAUGGGGAAGCUGCCACUAAACAGCGACAUUAGGGACCGUCCCUGCGUGCCUGCAGAUGCUGGGCACAGGGG